AGCUCCAAUAGCGUAUAUUAAAGUUGUUGCGGUUAAAAAGCUCGUAGUUGGAUCUCGGCAGCCAGGGGGCGGUUCGCUCCAAAGCGUGACUGCCCCAUUUGGCUGUGUGAUUGGCGGAGGUUCCGGGGUGCUCUUCGUUGAGUGUCCCGGUGCGCCGUCAGGUUUACUUUGAAAAAAUUAGAGUGCUCAAAGCAGGCUUUUCAGGCUUGAAUAUUCGUGCAUGGAAUAAUGGAAUAGGAACUCGUUCCUAUUUUGUUGGUUUUCGGGAAUCGAGUUAAUGAUUAAUAGGGACAAUUGGGGGCAUUAGUAUUCAAACGACAGAGGUGAAAUUCUUGGAUUCGGUCAAGACUAACUUAUGCGAAAGCAUUCACCAAGGAUGUCUUCU
rnacentral:rRNA from 1 species